rnacentral:tRNA from 1 species
ACUCUAUGAGUACAACAGUAUUCUUGACUUCCAAUCAAAAGGUCUUAGUUAAAACCUAAGAUAGAGUA